rnacentral:rRNA from 1 species
CCAAUAGCGUAUAUUAAAGUUGUUGCAGUUAAAAAGCUCGUAGUUGGAUUUCUGGUAGGAGUGACCGUUCCGAACUUGAUUGUUCGUGUAUUGUGUUUUCUCCAGCCAUCCUUGUGGAGAACUUUUCUUGCAUUAAUUUGUAGGGAUUGGGACCCGCAUCGUUUACUGUGAAAAAAUUAGAGUGUUUAAAGCAGGCAAUCGCUUGAAUACAUUAGCAUGGAAUAAUAAGAUAGGACUUUGGUACUAUUUUGUUGGUUUGCAUACCAAAUUAAUGAUCAACAGGAACAGUUUGAGGAUAUUCGUAUGAACAUGUCAGAGGUGAAAUUCUUGGAUUUUGAUCAGACGAACUACUGCGAAAGCAUUUAGCAAGGACGUUUUCAUUAA